UAGAUCAAUGAUAGUUAACUAGGUAGC
rnacentral:sRNA from 1 species